AACGCAUAUUGCGCCCUUUGGUAUUCCGAAGGGCAUGCCUGUUCGAGCGUCAUUCAUAAUCAUAUCAAGCUUGGCUUGUUGUUGGGCCCUUUCACUGGGUGACAGGUCCGAAAGACAAUGGCCGGUGUCAUACAGACUCCCUAUGCAACGAGCUUAUAACGGCACGCAUCUGGUGGUUAUGUGACCUGGUUUGCACCCUUUUCUUUCUCAAGGUUGACCUCGGAUCAGGUAGGAAUACCCGCUGAACUUAA
rnacentral:misc_RNA from 1 species